rnacentral:pre_miRNA from 1 species
GCUGCUGUAGGGUAGUAGGAGAGAGGUGUUACCUUAUCAGUUGCCUCCUCUCCCAUCCUCUCCUGCAGAAGCAGC